UACGAAGGGGGCUAGCGUUGUUCGGAAUUACUGGGCGUAAAGCGCACGUAGGCGGAUUGUUAAGUCAGGGGUGAAAUCCUGGAGCUCAACUCCAGAACUGCCUUUGAUACUGGCAACCUAGAGGCUGGAAGAGGUUAGUGGAAUUCCCAGUGUAGAGGUGAAAUUCGUAGAUAUUGGGAAGAACACCAGUGGCGAAGGCGGCUAACUGGUCCAGAUCUGACGCUGAGGUGCGAAAGCUAGGGGAGCGAACAGG
rnacentral:rRNA from 1 species